UAUGUCGUUUUUGCCAUAGAGGUAGU
rnacentral:piRNA from 1 species